rnacentral:misc_RNA from 1 species
GAUGAAGAACGUAGCGAAAUGCGAUAAGUAAUGUGAAUUGCAGAAUUCAGUGAAUCAUCGAAUCUUUGAACGCGCAUUGCGCCCAUUAGUAUUCUAGUGGGCAUGCCUGUUCGAGCGUCAUUAAUUCCACUUAAGCCCUGCUUAGUGUUGGGAAUCUACUCUAGUGGUGCUACCCUGGAGCUACCCCUGAAAGGGGGCUGGCCCGGUAGCUACCCUGUAGUUCCUCAAAGAUAGUGCGCGGAGUUGCGUGGUCCUCUGAGCUUAGUAACUAUACACCUAGCUUUUGAGUGUCCCGCGGCGCCUGCCGUUUAAACCCCAUCUUUUAAUGGUUGACCUCGGAUCAGGUAGGAAUACCCGCUGAACUUAAGCAUAUCAAUAAGCGA